rnacentral:rRNA from 1 species
GACGAACGCUGGCGGCGUGCCUAACACAUGCAAGUCGAGCGAGAGACUUCGGUCUCUAGCGGCGGACGGGUGAGUAACACGUGGGUAACCUGCCUCAUAGAGGGGGAUAGCCUCCCGAAAGGGAGAUUAAUACCGCAUAAUAUGUAUUGAUUGCAUGAUCAACACAUUAAAGGAGAAAUCCGCUAUGAGAUGGACCCGCGGCGCAUUAGCUAGUUGGAGAGGUAACGGCUCACCAAGGCGACGAUGCGUAGCCGACCUGAGAGGGUGAUCGGCCACAUUGGAACUGAGAAACGGUCCAGACUCCUACGGGAGGCAGCAGUGGGGAAUAUUGCACAAUGGGAGAAACCCUGAUGCAGCAACGCCGCGUGAGUGAAGAAGGCCUUCGGGUUGUAAAGCUCUGUCAUUGGGGACGAUAAUGACGGUACCCAAUGAGGAAGCCACGGCUAACUACGUGCCAGCCGCCGCCGUAAAAC